rnacentral:rRNA from 1 species
CCCUUAGAUGUUCGGGGCCGCACGCGCGCUACACUGAAGGAAUCAGCACGUCUUUCUCCUUGUCCGAAAGGACUGGGUAACCCGCUGAACCUCCUUCGUGCUAGGGAUUGGGGCUUGUAAUUCUUCCCCAUGAACGAGGAAUUCCCAGUAAGCGCGAGUCAUAAGCUCGCGUUGAUUACGUCCCUGCCCUUUGUACACACCGCCCGUCGCUACUACCGAUUGGAUGGUUUAGUGAGAUACUCGGAUUGGUCCCGGCGCGGCCUCUGGUCGUGCCGGAGUGCCGAAAAGAAUGUCGAACUUGAUCAUCUAGAGGAAGUAAAAGUCGUAACA